AGAUGUGGCAACCUUGGGCGAUUGGUUCAUUGGAAUUUGGAUUCUUCUAACCGAUGGCUUUUCUGAAGAGCAUUGCACUCACCAAUCUAAAGCCCUCAUUGUUGGUUUUGGCUCCAGCUAUUUGAGCUAAUGCAGAAGCAUGAUGUGUUGCCAAUCCUUGUGUCCUUUGUAUCUUCAUGCCGAUCGCAAGAGUUAGUUUCCUAUUUUAUGGUAAUAUUCUGAUAUUUUUAUGCGAUUCCUGAUGCUAGACAAGGAACGUGCGUAGGCUGAGGAUUCUAAGCUAGCCACCUUGUUUUCCUCACAUGGGGAUAUUGAUGUAUGAUGCGGAAGCAGGAAGUGUCGUCCAUGGCCUUUUGAUUGAUGCAAAAGUUGUUCAAUACUGUAGUAUGGACAUGCCUGAUUCAUGCAAUUCCAAUGAUUGCGUUUUGGAAAUUCUCUUCCUGUAGUAUUUGAGUUUAUGUCUACACUUACAUGAAGAGCAUCAGAUAUUUGUAAACCAUUAUUGUGCUUAGAAAGGUUCCUACAGAAAAAGAAUCCACUUAAGAAAGCAGAGCCGUUCGUGUGCUUCAUAUAAGCUAUAUACAUGCCAUCUCACCAAGCAC